AACUUUUAGCAAUGGAUCUCUUGGCUCUUGCAACGAUGAAGAACGCAGUGAAAUGCGAAAAGUAAUGCGAUUUGCACGAAUCUGUGAGUCAUCAAGUCUUUGAACGCACCUUGCACCAUAUGAGCAAUCGUAUGGUAUACCUGUUUGAGAAUCGUAAAAACCCAUCCUACCGAUUAGGUAGGGACUUGUCGACUGAGUGCGUCUUGUGCGCAUCCAUCGAUUAAAAGUAGUAGGUCUAGUCAGGCUGGUGGCCUGGGGCAUUGUGUGCUAGAGACGUCGCUUCGGCUGACUGUCUUCUCACAGUGCGUCCCUUGCUAUACAAGCUAGUCUGGUCUUGGCCUUUACAGUCAUCGUAAGGUGACAACCCCCCUUUUUGAUCUCAAAUCAGGUAAGGCUACCCGCUGAACUUAAGCAUAUCAAUAAGCGGAGGCU
rnacentral:misc_RNA from 1 species